UACGGAGGAUGCAAGCGUUAUCCGGAUUUAUUGGGCGUAAAGAGCGCGCAGGUGGUUGAUUAAGUCUGAUGUGAAAGCCCACGGCUUAACCGUGGAGGGUCAUUGGAAACUGGUCGACUUGAGUGCAGAAGAGGGAAGUGGAAUUCCAUGUGUAGCGGUGAAAUGCGUAGAGAUAUGGAGGAACACCAGUGGCGAAGGCGGCUUCCUGGUCUGUAACUGACACUGAGGCGCGAAAGCGUGGGGAGCAAACAGGAUUAGA
rnacentral:rRNA from 1 species